rnacentral:rRNA from 1 species
CGUAGGGUGCAAGCGUUAAUCGGAAUUACUGGGCGUAAAGCGUGCGCAGGCGGUGAUGUAAGACAGGUGUAAAAUCCCCGGGCUUAACCUGGGAACUGCAUUUGUGACUGCAUCGCUGGAGUGCGGCAGAGGGGGAUGGAAUUCCGCGUGUAGCAGUGAAAUGCGUAGAUAUGCGGAGGAACACCGAUGGCGAAGGCAAUCCCCUGGGCCUGCACUGACGCUCAUGCACGAAAGCGUGGGGAGCAAACAGGAUUAGAUACCCUGGUAGUCCACGCCCUAAACGAUGUCAACUGGUUGUUGGGUCUUCACUGACUCAGUAACGAAGCUAACGCGUGAAGUUGACCGCCUGGGGAGUACGGCCGCAAGGUUG